rnacentral:rRNA from 1 species
CGCAUCUGUGCAUGCAGCAUAUCAAUAAGCGGAGGAAAAGAAACUAACAAGGAUUCCCUCAGUAACGGCGAGUGAAGGCGGGAAGAGCUCAAAUUUGAAAUCUUGAAAGGUCACCUUUCACGAAUUGUAGUUUAUAGAAGUGUUUUCUGUUACGAUCGUAAUAUAAGUUCUUUGGAAUAGGACAUCACAGAGGGUGAGAAUCCCGUCUAUGAUUGCGAUUUGUAGCUUUGUGAUACACUUUCAAAGAGUCGGGUUGUUUGGGAAUGCAGCCCAAAACGGGAGGUAAAUUUCUUCUAAGGCUAAAUAUUGGCGAGAGACCGAUAGCGAACAAGUACCGUGAGGGAAAGAUGAAAAGAACUUUGAAAAGAGAGUUAAGUAGUACGUGAAAUUGUCAAAAGGGAAGCGUUUAACACCAGUGUUGUUUUCUGAAAAUCAACCUCUGUUAGCUUUAUGCAUGUUUGUUUAGACCUAAUCAGCUAUCUUGCAUGUUCUAUUGUUUGCAGUGGUGCACUUUUCAGUUUACAGGUCAACAUCAGUUUUUUUUACCGUAAAAAAGUUAAAGAAAGGUAGCUCAUGGCUCCGGUCGUGAGUGUUAUAGUCUUUUUCCUAUGCGGUAGGAGAGACUGAGGUCUGCAGUGUAGGCUAUUUGGCUAGAUACUCAGGUGCUAUGUGAUACCAUUUCAUAAACAACUUGUUGAUUAUGUUUUGUCUAUUGCAUACUCGCUUGUACUAUCAUACCUACGCUUAGGAUGUUGACGAUCAGCUGAGCGCG